CUUAGGGAGGAGCUUGCGUCACAUUAGUUAGUUGGUGGGGUAAAGGCCUACCAAGACUAUGAUGUGUAGCCGGGCUGAGAGGUUGAACGGCCACAUUGGGACUGAGACACGGCCCAAACUCCUACGGGAGGCAGCAGUAGGGAAUUUUCGGCAAUGGAGGAAACUCUGACCGAGCAACGCCGCGUGAACGAUGAAGUAUUUCGGUACGUAAAGUUCUUUUAUUAGGGAAGAAUAAAUGAUGGAAAAAUCAUUCUGACGGUACCUAAUGAAUAAGCCCCGGCUAACUAUGUGCCAGCAGCCGCGGUAAUACAUAGGGGGCAAGCGUUAUCCGGAAUUAUUGGGCGUAAAGGGUGCGUAGGCGGUUAAAUAAGUUUAUGGUCUAAGUGCAAUGCUCAACAUUGUGAUGCUAUAAAAACUGUUUAGCUAGAGUAAGAUAGAGGCAAGUGGAAUUCCAUGUGUAGUGGUAAAAUGCGUAAAUAUAUGGAGGAACACCAGUAGCGAAGGCGGCUUGCUGGGUCUUUACUGACGCUGAGGCACGAAAGCGUGGGGAGCAAACAGGAUUAGAUACCCUGGUAGUCCACGCCGUAAACGAUGAGUACUAAACGUUGGGUAAAACCAGUGUUGAAGUUAACACAUUAAGUACUCCGCCUGAGUAGUACGUACGCAAGUAUGAAACUUAAAGGAAUUGACGGGACUCCGCACAAGCGGUGGAUCAUGUUGUUUAAUUCGAAGGUACCCGAAAAACCUCACCAGGUCUUGACAUGCUUCUGCAAAACUGUAGAAACACAGUGGAGGUUAUCAGUUGCACAGGUGGUGCAUGGUUGUCGUCAGCUCGUGUCGUGAGAUGUUGGGUUAAGUCCCGCACGAGCGCAACCCUUAUUGNUAGUUACCAGCACGUAAUGGUGGGGACUUUAGCA
rnacentral:rRNA from 1 species